UACGGAGGGUGCAAGCGUUAAUCGGAAUUACUGGGCGUAAAGCGUGCGCAGGCGGUUUGUUAAGUCCGCUGUGAAAUCCCCGAGCUCAACUUGGGAAUUGCAGUGGAUACUGGCAAGCUGGAGUAUGGUAGAGGAAGGUGGAAUUCCCGGUGUAGCAGUGAAAUGCGUAGAGAUCGGGAGGAACACCAGUGGCGAAGGCGGCCUGCUGGGCAGUAGCUGACGCUGAGGCGCGACAGCGUGGGGGAGCAAACAGG
rnacentral:rRNA from 1 species